rnacentral:rRNA from 1 species
UGAGGAAUAUUGGUCAAUGGGCGCAAGCCUGAACCAGCCAUCCCGCGUGCAGGAAGACGGCGCUAUGCGUUGUAAACUGCUUUUCCAGGGGGAGAAACUUGCGCACGUGUUGCGCAAUUGACGGUACCCUGGGAAUAAGCAUCGGCUAAUUCCGUGCCAGCAGCCGCGGUAAUACGGAGGAUGCGAGCGUUAUCCGGAUUCAUUGGGUUUAAGGGGUGCGUAGGCGGACUAUUAAGUCAGUGGUGAAAUCCUGCAGCUUAACUGCAGAACUGCCAUUGAUACUGAUAGCCUUGAGUUUGGUUAAGGUAGGCGAAAUGUGUAAUGUAGCGGUGAAAUGCUUAGAUAUUACACAGAACACCAAUUGCGUAGGCAGCUUACUGAGCCGACACUGACGCUGAGGCACGAAAGCGUGGGGAUCGAACAG